AUAUAUAUAUAUAUAUAAAGAAAAACUGAAAACUGGCAGAUUUUAAGGAGAACAGAGGAUCUAAUACUGAAGGAAAGCACAAAACACAACUGAAGUUGAAGCGGUAGGCUGCUCUUCUUCUAAGGGCGACUGUGGCGGCCAUUUGAAAUAUACGACAGUAAGUGGAAAACGAGAAUCCCAAUGAUCACAACUCUGGGUUACUGCCACCUGUCGUCUGUAGUGAACACGGGAAAAGAGUAAAACAUUCUAAUAAGAGAAAUACACUCUAUCUGCCUUGGUAUUAAUCGUGGAGAGAAGACAACUCUCAGCUCGAACUGCUCUCUCUCUCUCUCACACACACACACACACACACAUAUAUGAGCAUGAAAUGGCGGACAGAUGCUUGUUAUCCAAUCGGAAUGCAGCUUCAAGUAGCAUCAGAUCAGUCAACCAAUCAGCGCAAAGCAAACAGAACCUCGAGGGACCCCUAGCGGCGUAUUCUGGCAUUCGUCUCCUUGAGUUUGUGAGGGAAGGAAACUGCCGGUCGUGGUCUGUUAUGUUGGCUUUGGCAGGAAGAUAACUUAUGGUGUGUUACUGGAGUGGGAAGUGACACCAGUGUUGGGGCGACGUGACCAAGAAGUGACUUUGUUAAGGAACCCACAGCUUUGCCUCAAAUAAGCCACUCAUCUUUCUGAAACCGAAGAAAGUUUACGUGGAUAUAAAAAUUCACACAGCAUUUCACACAUCCUGCCAAUCCAUCACACGGCGAGCACCGCGGAAUAGCACAGCAGGUCGUUAAUUCUGGAUCGUGGCAUCACAGCAAGGGGUACAGCAGUUCCGGGCGUGAUGAUAACUUUCAAAUUUGAGCCCAAGAUAUUUUUGCUUUUUUUUUUUUAAUAUAAAUUCUAAAACCUUAGAGAAAAUUUAAAGAUAUUCCAUUGAUAAUUAACCUUCAUUUUAUUAUUUUGAUUUCUACUCCACCAGUAACCAGUCCACUCAAAAACUGCACGUACAUGAGUUCAACUGGUCAUUCUUCUCUCAGUAAUGGGCCAAGAAGCUUUCACUGCCCCUCACCUGUGUGUCUUAUCAGCUCAUCACGUACCCUCUUACACCUUGACAUCUACCUGUCCGUCUAAACACCUGCUGAGCCAACCUGUUCACUGCCUCCCCCCUUUUUUUUUAUUGAAGGAUGCUUACCUGUCAGCUCAGGGGCGUGGCACUGACCGGUGACAAAAAAAAGAAAAAGUAUAUAAACUAAUGAACUAAAGUAUUACUAGAGGACUGAGGAGGGUGAAAGGACAUUAUUGAAGCAGCAAAAAGGAGAGUGGACAGAGAAAGGAGGAGAAGGAGGACUUUUAUGUUAAUGAUUAAAGGAGGGGAGAGAGUGAAGGGAGAGAAGAAGGGAAAAGUUACAAUAUAAGAAAAAAGUAAUAACUUGAAGGAAGGAACGGAGAGAGAGAGAGAGAGAGAGAGAGAGAGAGAGAGAGAGAGAGAGAGAGAGAGAGAGAGAGAGAGAGAGAGAGAGAGAGAGAGAGAGAGAGAGAGA